UACAGAGGGGGCAAGCGUUGUUCGGAAUUACUGGGCGUAAAGGGCGCGUAGGCGGUACUUCAAGUCGGGCGUGAAAGCCCUCGGCUCAACCGAGGAAGUGCACCCGAAACUGCUGAGCUUGAGUGCCGGAGAGGAGUGGCGGAAUACCCCAAGUAGAGGUGAAAUUCGUAGAUAUGGGGUGGAACACCGGUGGCGAAGGCGGCCAUCUGGACGGUAACUGACGCUGAGACGCGAAAGCGUGGGUAGCAACAGGA
rnacentral:rRNA from 1 species